UGAUCUUGUACUAAGUUCAAGUCCAGGAUAUUGGCAACAAACUCGUCUAACAUAUAGUGAUGGGACCACCUACCUAGUCAAACUGGACAUGCCAACGAUUCAACGUUUAGAGAAUGGAGAUACUCAACUUCUUGAAACAAUCAGGGCUAAUAUAGAAUCAUCAAAAUUG